rnacentral:rRNA from 1 species
CCUACGGGUGGCAGCAGUGGGGAAUAUUGGACAAUGGGGGGAACCCUGAUCCAGCGACGCCACGUGAGUGAAGAAGUAUUUCGGUAUGUAAAGCUCUAUCAGCAGGGAAGAAAAUGACGGUACCUGACUACGAAUCCCCGGCUAACUACGUGCCAGCAGCCGCGGUAAUACGUAGGGGGCAAGCGUUAUCCGGAUUUACUGGGGGUAAAGGGAGCGUAGACGGUGCAGCAAGUCUGCUGUGAAAGGUCGGGGGCCAACCCCGGGACUGCAUUGGAAACUGGUGGACUGGAGUACAGGAGAGGUAAGCGGAAUUCGUGGUGUAGCGGUGAAAUGCGUAGAUAUUAGGAGGAACACCAGUGGCGAAGGCGGCUUACUGGACUGUAACUGACGUUGAGGCUCGAAAGCGUGGGGAGCGAACAGGAUUAGAUACCCGAGUAGUC